GAUGAACGUUGGCGGCGUGGAUUAGGCAUGCAAGUCGAGCGAGAACCCCGCAAGGGGGGACAGCGGCAAACGGGGUAGUAAGGCGUCGGAACGUGCCCUCGGGACGGGGAUAGCGGCGGGAAACUGCCGGUAAUACCCGAUGAUCUGGAAGCCUGUGAUGGGCUUCCAGCAAAGGUGUGAUUCCGCCGGAGGAGCGGCCGACGUGGUAUUAGCUAGUUGGCGGGGUAAUGGCCCACCAAGGCGAUGAUGCCUAGGGGGAUGUGAGAGCAUGAUCCCCACCAUUGGGGACUGAGACACUGCCCAGACACCUACGGGUGGCUGCAGUCGAGAAUCUUCGUCAAUGGGCGAAAGCCUGAACGAGCGACGCCGCGUGCGGGAUGAAGGCCCUUGGGUUGUAAACCGCUGUCGAGGGGGAUGAAGGUCAUUAGGGACUCCUGAUGA
rnacentral:rRNA from 1 species